GAGGCGAGGUGAGUGCAGCGGUACUCAGACAGGAAAGCCUCGGGAUCCUUCGGGUUCUUUCGUUUUCCCUCCAGGGUAAAGUUAUGUUCAGUCUUCCAUCAACACGUUUAUUUUUCCGCCCGACUCGGCGCGCGUGCGCAGUGCCUCCCAGCCCAGGCUGUUCCUGAAAUGUUAGCGUGUUGAGACACAGGGAGGGAAGCUGAACGUCCAUCCUACAGGUCAACCAACGUUUUGACUCAGCAGUUCACCUUCGGAGCAUUAUCCUGGUGGACAUCCAUCUGUGCCUCAAGGCUGCUUCCAGGAUGCUCUUGACUAUAUAUUGUUUACUACAGUGAGGCUUGGCCCCAUAACGAUGGCUAUUGUAUAAGUGCUCUACAAGAGUUUAAGAAAUAACCUGUGUUACAGGCUCAGAUAAGCACUAGGGACACCAGGAAUGUUAACUACACGGGGAUGUCUGUUCAGUGAGAGAGAUGUAUAAUGUGUCUUCUGCCCCGAAGGCUGGGAGCGGAUGUGAGUAAUGGCCUGUGACCUGAGACUGAUAGGCUGAGGUCUCACCAGUCCCUUCCUGGACUCUUUAUAGGUGAGCAUGUUUUGCUCAGUCUAUAGAAACUGUCUUUCUGGAAGAUGUCACAUGUACUUUAGAGUUUGAGUCCAGUUAUGUCUUAAGCUGUGCUGUGCAUAGGCGAUUGGGUUAAUUAUCACCAGGUAAGUUUUCACCAAAUAAACUACUUGGGGUCAGGCUUGCAAAGUUUGAACCAACACAGGCUACUUAAUUGUGCUGAAUUGAACAACCUUCUUGUUUCCUAUAGAUCAUCACUCUGCUGAUCACAGAGAUCCACCCCCAAACUUGUAUUGAAACAAAAGACCAAACCAAACAGUUCUGCUUUUCACUUCUUUUUUCUUAUAAGUGGUGGUGCUUUUCACUUCUUAUGCAUAAGAUGCCAUUCACAAUCAGAAGAGCUGUGCACUGUGCAAUCUAUUUGCUGUGUGACAUUGUAUUAGGGUUCUAUAGAAUGAAUAUAUAUAAUUAUAAUAGACUAUUUCACAUAAAUAUUUCUAUAUAUAAUU
ensembl:processed_transcript